rnacentral:misc_RNA from 1 species
UGAAAGGCGAAACGUAAUGUGAAUCGCAACUAACAGUGAAUCAUCGAAUCUUUGAACGCAUGCCGCACUCCCUAGUAUUAUGUUUCUGCAUCAUACUAGAGAGUAUCUAUGUAAUGAGUGUCAGCCAAAUUUUCUUUUGGUUUACAAAGGAAGUAAAAAGGUAGUUUUUUAUUUUAAUUUGUAAAUACACACAUGUCUUUUUGUGACAUAUCACUUGAAACACACAAAGCAUUGUCGUCUGGCCUCAUAUAUGGAAGAUUACCCGCUGGAUUUAA